UACGUAGGUGGCGAGCGUUGUCCGGAAUUACUGGGUGUAAAGCGCGCGUAGGCGGUAGCCAAGUCUGCUGUGAAAUCGCCCGGCUCAACUGGGCGCGGUCGGUGGAAACUGGUCAACUGGAGGACGGUAGAGGCGAGUGGAAUUCCCGGUGUAGUGGUGAAAUGCGUAGAUAUCGGAAGGAACACCUGUGGCGAAAGCGGCUCACUGGACCAUUGCUGACGCUGAGGCACGAAAGCUAGGGGAGCAAACAGG
rnacentral:rRNA from 1 species